UUCUUUGAUUGGUAGAUGGAUUCAAUGAGUGAAGCUUCUAGCACAAAUAAAAGGAGGUCGACGAGAUCCGAUGCGUGGGAUCACUUUAAAGAGAUAGAUGAUGGCCAAGAUGUAAGCAAUAUCCUUAUGGGAACGUGGAGAAAAG